CACGUAGGGCGCGAGCGUUGUCCGGAAUUAUUGGGCGUAAAGAGCUCGUAGGCGGCCUGUUGCGUCCGCUGUGAAAGCCCGGGGCUUAACCCCGGGUCUGCAGUGGAUACGGGCAGGCUAGAGGUAGGUAGGGGAGAAUGGAAUUCCCGGUGUAGCGGUGAAAUGCGCAGAUAUCGGGAGGAACACCGGUGGCGAAGGCGGCACUCUGGGCCGAUACUGACACUGAGGAGCGAAAGCGUGGGGAGCGAACAGG
rnacentral:rRNA from 1 species